AACGAACGCUGGCGGCAGGCCUAACACAUGCAAGUCGAGCGAGGACUUCGGUUCUAGCGGCGGACGGGUGAGUAACGCGUGGGAAUGUGCCCUUCUCUACGGAAUAGCCCUGGGAAACUGGGAGUAAUACCGUAUACGCCCUAUUGGGGAAAGAUUUAUCGGAGAAGGAUCAGCCCGCGUUGGAUUAGGUAGUUGGUGGGGUAAUGGCCUACCAAGCCGACGAUCCAUAGCUGGUUUGAGAGGAUGAUCAGCCACACUGGGACUGAGACACGGCCCAGACUCCUACGGGAGGCAGCAGUGUGGAAUCUUAGACAAUGGGGGCAACCCUGAUCUAGCCAUGCCGCGUGAGUGAUGAAGGCCUUAGGGUUGUAAAGCUCUUUCAGCUGGGAAGAUAAUGACGGUACCAGCAGAAGAAGCCCCGGCUAACUCCGUG
rnacentral:rRNA from 1 species